rnacentral:rRNA from 1 species
GGUUAAGCGACUAAGCGUACACGGUGGAUGCCCUGGCAGUCAGAGGCGAUGAAGGACGUGCUAAUCUGCGAUAAGCGUCGGUAAGGUGAUAUGAACCGUUAUAACCGGCGAUUUCCGAAUGGGGAAACCCAGUGUGAUUCGUCACACUAUCAUUAACUGAAUCCAUAGGUUAAUGAGGCGAACCGGGGGAACUGAAACAUCUAAGUACCCCGAGGAAAAGAAAUCAACCGAGAUUCCCCCAGUAGCGGCGAGCGAACGGGGAGCAGCCCAGAGCCUGAAUCAGUGUGUGUGUUAGUGGAAGCGUCUGGAAAGGCGCGCGAUACAGGGUGACAGCCCCGUACACAAAAAUGCACAUACUGUGAGCUCGAUGAGUAGGGCGGGACACGUGGUAUCCUGUCUGAAUAUGGGGGGACCAUCCUCCAAGGCUAAAUAC